CGGGGGGGGCAAGCGUUGUCGGAAUUACUGGGCGUAAAGGGCUCGUAGGCGGCCAACUAAGUCAGACGUGAAAUCCCCAGGCUCAACCUGGGAACUGCGUCUGAUACUGGAUGGCUUGAAUCCGGGAGAGGGAUGCAGAAUUCCAGGUGUAGCGGUGAAAUGCGUAGAUAUCUGGAGGAAUACCGGUGGCGAAGGCGGCAUCCUGGACCGGCAUUGACGCUGAUGAGCGAAAGCCAGGGGAGCAAACGGGAUUAGAUACCCCGGUAGUCCUGGCCCUAAACGAUGAAUGCUUGGUGUGACGGGUAUCGAUCCCUGUCGUGCCGAAGCUAACGCAUUAAGCAUUCCGCCUGGGGAGUACGGUCGCAAGGCUG
rnacentral:rRNA from 1 species